GCAAUGAUAGACGAGAUCAUCUUGCCCGAGAUCUCGCUUGGAAGAAGAAUGUAUCCAUGAAGUAGACGAACCAACGUAGUCCAACGAAUCCUCACACUCCAAAGCGGUUUGGAACUCUGUCGAGAAGAAAUAAUCUGAAAACAAACAAUCAACACAUUAUAAACACCACAACAUAUGCAUGACAUUCGAACGAAUCCUCAUACUCCCAAGCGGUUCGGAACUCUACCGAGAAGAAAUAGGCUGAAAACAAUCAAUCAACACAUGAUAAACACCACAACAUAUGCAUGACAUGAUGCAAAACACAUAUGAUGCAUGUUCGGUUUAGUUAUGCAAGGCAUGACACUCACAACAAUCAAAUACUACACAUUCAGUGAAGCUCAAUAUACAACAAGAUGCAUAUUGAUGAAACUCCACAUUUUGAUUACUUAGUUCACUCUCGUAUAGCUACACGACCGUGUUAAAUGUUGUUAAACAUGUCAAGAGGUGAACCAUAAAUAAACUACACUAUCUAGGCAUUUCAAAUGAGGUCGGAAACAACAUAUAGCAUUUUCGAAUGACCCCAUAUGUUAAUUUUGAAAUUGGUCCAGAUCUGAACUAAAGAUGUUUUAUAUCUAUUAAACAUCAAAAUAAAGUGGUCCAUGUGAUUCUAAACUUCAUUCUAGUUGAUUUACAUAUAUAUAUCAUUUAAAACGAAGAUAAGGUCUAAAAGAUAUGAUCCUCACAAGAUAAUAUGUCAUGAAUCCAAAAUGUAUGCAAAUAACAGCCACAAGCAUGUUUUCUUGGAUGCAAAAAGAUAUUCCAAAACUAUAUGAAAUUCUAGGCAAGUUAAAUAAGGCCGGAAUAACGAAUAACAAUUCCGUAAAGUCCCCAUAUGCAAAUUAAGUUUUUUGUAUUUUUCUGCCUCUAACAGAAUUUUAGAGUUGUUAAACAUUAAAAUAAAUGCCACCAUGUUAUUCUACAUAUUUUUCUAGUCAAGUUACAUAAGUGUAUCAUUUUAAUCAGAGCUAUGGUUAAUUAGUUAUGAAUUCAAUCGUUUUAACAUGUCAUUUAUGCAAAUUAAAUGAAAACAUCAAGUUAAAUAUUUUAAACAUGCAUGAAAGUUGAAAAUUAUUAAUCUACACAAAAUUCUACAUAUUUUACAUAUCUAAAUUAUUCUAAUCGGAUGUAGAGUUUUCAAUCAUGCAUUUUUUUGUAAUUAAAAAUGCAUUGGCUAAUUGACAAAUUUGCAAAGAUGAAAAAGGUCAACGGGCCAAAUCUGCUACUACUCGGCAAACGAUCUGGGCGUCAUAUAACAAUACAGCGCACGCGGCACAGAAUAACGUGGCCGGGCAGAACUCACUUUGGGUCAGGCCUUAGGGAGUGGAGCAAGCUCGCGAGCAAGGGGAAGUUGGCUCACCUAGUGGGCCUUGGACCGAGCUCGGUGGCGAGACAGGCCGAUGCGAGGGGAGGCGUCAUUGGCCUUGGGUGGCGCGACCCAAAUAAGCGCAUGUAGGGGCGAGGCGAGCGUCGUCU
rnacentral:lncRNA from 1 species